rnacentral:rRNA from 1 species
AGUGAACGCUGGCGGUAGGCCUAACACAUGCAAGUCGAGCGGCAGCACAGGAGAGCUUGCUCUCUGGGUGGCGAGUGGCGGACGGGUGAGGAAUACAUCGGAAUCUACUCUGUCGUGGGGGAUAACGUAGGGAAACUUACGCUAAUACCGCAUACGACCUACGGGUGAAAGCAGGGGACCUUCGGGCCUUGCGCGAUUGAAUGAGCCGAUGUCGGAUUAGCUAGUUGGCGGGGUAAAGGCCCACCAAGGCGACGAUCCGUAGCUGGUCUGAGAGGAUGGUCAGCCACACUGGAACUGAGACACGGUCCAGCCUCCUACGGGAGGCAGCAGUGGGGAAUAUUGGACAAUGGGCGCAAGCCUGAUCCAGCCAUACCGCGUGGGUGAAGAAGGCCUUCGGGUUGUAAAGCCCUUUUGUUGGGAUAGAAAUCCAGCUGGCUAAUACCCGGUUGGGAUGACGGUACCCAAAGAAUAAGCACCGGCUAACUUCGUGCCAGCAGCCGCCGCGG